GACAGAGGGGGCAAGCGUUGCUCGGAAUUACUGGGCGUAAAGCGCGCGUAGGCGGUUAUCUAAGUCGGAUGUGAAAGCCCUCGGCUUAACUGAGGAAGUGCACCCGAAACUGGAUAGCUAGAGUACGAAAGAGGGUCGCGGAAUUCCCGGUGUAGAGGUGAAAUUCGUAGAUAUCGGGAGGAACACCGGUGGCGAAGGCGGCGACCUGGGUCGAGACUGACGCUGAGGCGCGAAAGCGUGGGGAGCAAACAGG
rnacentral:rRNA from 1 species